GGGCCCGUAGCUCAGCUGGGAGAGCGCAACGUUCGCAAUGUUGAGGUCGUCGGUUCGAUCCCGAUCGGGUCCA
rnacentral:tRNA from 1 species